AUGGUAACUGCAAAAACUUCUAGUUAUGAUUCAGCACAUGAUGCCAAUCCUGUUUUACGUGAUGUGACGUACUACGGGAGGGUAAUUGAUAUUGUCGAGCUAAACUACUCUGGACAGUUUUCAGUGGUGUUGUUUAAAUGUGAAUGGGUUAAUGUGUUCUCAGGAACAGGAAUGAAAAAAGACAAGUACGGUUACACACUUGUCAACUUCUCACAUCUAAUACACAAAGGAGAACAGAUUGAGCAUGAGCCUUUUAUUUUCCCUAACCAGGCGAAUCAAGUGUUCUAUGUGGAAGAUGAAUUGAAUUCAGGUUGGUCUGUGGUAAUGAAGUUGCCAAAGCCUAGAGAUGUAUAUGACUUAGGCAACUUGGAAUGGGAAGCGCAGACAGAAAAUGAGCCAUUCCAUGUUUCACAGCUUAGAGAGAGUUUGAAAAGAAAGAACAAUGAACAACAUUGGGUUAGAAGAGACGUUGAGGGGACAAUAGUGGAUGCUAAUAAUGCUUCGAGCAACGAAGAAUAG
rnacentral:rRNA from 1 species